rnacentral:rRNA from 1 species
UACGUAGGGUGCGAGCGUUGUCCGGAAUUAUUGGGCGUAAAGAGCUUGUAGGCGGUUUGUCGCGUCUGCUGUGAAAAUCCGGGGCUCAACCCUGGACUUGCAGUGGGUACGGGCAGACUAGAGUGUGGUAGGGGAGACUGGAAUUCCUGGUGUAGCGGUGAAAUGCGCAGAUAUCAGGAGGAACACCGAUGGCGAAGGCAGGUCUCUGGGCCACUACUGAUGCUGAGAAGCGAAAGCAUGGGGAGCGAACAGGAUUA